AUAUAUAUAUAGGUAUGUGGAAACAAAAUUUCUCAUUUCUGUUUACACAUUUUUCUCUUUAUAACAUCAUCUUCUUCAGUUGCUCUAAGAAGAAGACGAUGUAGUUGAAGGAAGCUCUUCAUGUUGCAAUAGUAGUGUGCAUUGAAGUCUGGUAGUAAAGAAAUUGAGGAACUAGACAAAUGAGGCUCUGGUGUUCGGACAAGCUAAGUUGACAAGGAUAAGAAAGCAAUGAUAGAUAAAGACUUAGGCAUCAAGAGGGACCAAGCCAGACUCUAUCGAAGUGAAGUGGUGUGUGGGAACUGUUUAUGUAUAUAGAGGGGCACCCGUUGAGGCCUCGCCUCAGGGUUUAAGGUGAUUAUAUUUGUUAUAGAGUCUCAAUCCAAAAUUUUGCAAAUAUUCAUGGGAAUCAAUGUCGUAGGAAUUUAUCACAAAUUUUGUACGAGCUUAAAUGAUAGCUAGAUUUUGAAAUAAAGUUGUUCAAGCAUGUAAUUAAACUAGACAUAGAAGUAUCUUUAAGUUAUUCGGGUUGGUGUAGCA